AUUGAACGCUGGCGGCAGGCUUAACACAUGCAAGUCGAGCGAGCGGCGGACGGGUGAGUAAUGUCUGGGAAACUGCCUGAUGGAGGGGGUUAACUACUGGAAACGGUAGCUAAUACCGCAUACCAUAAAUUUGGCCCAGAUGGGAUUAGCUAGUAGGUGGGGUAAUGGCUCACCAAGGCGACAAUCCCUGGCGGGUCUGAGAGGAUGACCGGCCACACUGGAACUGAUACACGUUCCCGACUCCUACGGGAGGCAGCAGUGGGGAAUAUUGCACAAUGGGCGCAAGCCUGAUGCAGCCAUGCCGCGUGUGUGAAGAAGGCCUUCGGGUUGUAAAGCACUUUCAGCGAGGAGGCGUUACUCGCAGAAGAAGCACCGGCUAACUCCGUGCCAGCAGCCGCGGUAAUUC
rnacentral:rRNA from 1 species